GCGUCUGGAAAGGCGCGCGAUACAGGGUGACAGCCCCGUACACAAAAAUGCACAUGCUGUGAGCUCGAUGAGUAGGGCGGGACACGUGGUAUCCUGUCUGAAUAUGGGGGGACCAUCCUCCAAGGCUAAAUACUCCUGACUGACCGAUAGUGAACCAGUACCGUGAGGGAAAGGCGAAAAGAACCCCGGCGAGGGGAGUGAAAAAGAACCUGAAACCGUGUACGUACAAGCAGUGGGAGCACAGAGCAAUCUGUGUGACUGCGUACCUUUUGUAUAAUGGGUCAGCGACUUAUAUUCUGUAGCAAGGUUAACCGAAUAGGGGAGCCGAAGGGAAACCGAGUCUUAACUGGGCGUUAAGUUGCAGGGUAUAGACCCGAAACCCGGUGAUCUAGCCAUGGGCAGGUUGAAGGUUGGGUAACACUAACUGGAGGACCGAACCGACUAAUGUUGAAAAAUUAGCGGAUGACUUGUGGCUGGGGGUGAAAGGCCAAUCAAACCGGGAGAUAGCUGGUUCUCCCCGAAAGCUAUUUAGGUAGCGCCUCGUGAAUUCAUCUCCGGGGGUAGAGCACUGUUUCGGCAAGGGGGUCAUCCCGACUUACCAACCCGAUGCAAACUGCGAAUACCGGAGAAUGUUAUCACGGGAGACACACGGCGGGUGCUAACGUCCGUCGUGAAGAGGGAAACAACCCAGACCGCCAGCUAAGGUCCCAAAGUCAUGGUUAAGUGGGAAACGAUGUGGGAAGGCCCAGACAGCCAGGAUGUUGGCUUAGAAGCAGCCAUCAUUUAAAGAAAGCGUAAUAGCUCACUGGUCGAGUCGGCCUGCGCGGAAGAUGUAACGGGGCUAAACCAUGCACCGAAGCUGCGGCAGCGACGCUGAUGCGUUGUUGGGUAGGGGAGCGUUCUGUAAGCCUGUGAAGGUGUGCUGUGAGGCAUGCUGGAGGUAUCAGAAGUGCGAAUGCUGACAUAAGUAACGAUAAAGCGGGUGAAAAGCCCGCUCGCCGGAAGACCAAGGGUUCCUGUCCAACGUUAAUCGGGGCAGGGUGAGUCGACCCCUAAGGCGAGGCCGAAAGGCGUAGUCGAUGGGAAACAGGUUAAUAUUCCUGUACUUGGUGUUACUGCGAAGGGGGGACGGAGAAGGCUAUGUUGGCCGGGCGACGGUUGUCCCGGUUUAAGCGUGUAGGCUGGUUUUCCAGGCAAAUCCGGAAAACUAAGGCUGAGGCGUGAUGACGAGGCACUACGGUGCUGAAGCAACAAAUGCCCUGCUUCCAGGAAAAGCCUCUAAGCAUCAGGUAACAUCAAAUCGUACCCCAAACCGACACAGGUGGUCAGGUAGAGAAUACCAAGGCGCUUGAGAGAACUCGGGUGAAGGAACUAGGCAAAAUGGUGCCGUAACUUCGGGAGAAGGCACGCUGAUAUGUAGGUGAAGUCCCUCGCGGAUGGAGCUGAAAUCAGUCGAAGAUACCAGCUGGCUGCAACUGUUUAUUAAAAACACAGCACUGUGCAAACACGAAAGUGGACGUAUACGGUGUGACGCCUGCCCGGUGCCGGAAGGUUAAUUGAUGGGGUCAGCGCAAGCGAAGCUCUUGAUCGAAGCCCCGGUAAACGGCGGCCGUAACUAUAACGGUCCUAAGGUAGCGAAAUUCCUUGUCGGGUAAGUUCCGACCUGCACGAAUGGCGUAAUGAUGGCCAGGCUGUCUCCACCCGAGACUCAGUGAAAUUGAACUCGCUGUGAAGAUGCAGUGUACCCGCGGCAAGACGGAAAGACCCCGUGAACCUUUACUAUAGCUUGACACUGAACAUUGAGCCUUGAUGUGUAGGAUAGGUGGGAGGCUUUGAAGUGUGGACGCCAGUCUGCAUGGAGCCGACCUUGAAAUACCACCCUUUAAUGUUUGAUGUUCUAACGUUGACCCGUAAUCCGGGUUGCGGACAGUGUCUGGUGGGUAGUUUGACUGGGGCGGUCUCCUCCUAAAGAGUAACGGAGGAGCACGAAGGUUGGCUAAUCCUGGUCGGACAUCAGGAGGUUAGUGCAAUGGCAUAAGCCAGCUUGACUGCGAGCGUGACGGCGCGAGCAGGUGCGAAAGCAGGUCAUAGUGAUCCGGUGGUUCUGAAUGGAAGGGCCAUCGCUCAACGGAUAAAAGGUACUCCGGGGAUAACAGGCUGAUACCGCCCAAGAGUUCAUAUCGACGGCGGUGUUUGGCACCUCGAUGUCGGCUCAUCACAUCCUGGGGCUGAAGUAGGUCCCAAGGGUAUGGCUGUUCGCCAUUUAAAGUGGUACGCGAGCUGGGUUUAGAACGUCGUGAGACAGUUCGGUCCCUAUCUGCCGUGGGCGCUGGAGAACUGAGGGGGGCUGCUCCUAGUACGAGAGGACCGGAGUGGACGCAUCACUGGUGUUCGGGUUGUCAUGCCAAUGGCACUGCCCGGUAGCUAAAUGCGGAAGAGAUAAGUGCUGAAAGCAUCUAAGCACGAAACUUGCCCCGAGAUGAGUUCUCCCUGACUCCUUGAGAGUCCUGAAGGAACGUUGAAG
rnacentral:rRNA from 1 species